CGAUGGUUCUCUUUGAGCUCCUCGUCCUUUUCUGCUUAUCUCCAGUUUGGGCCACAAUGUCAUGUCACCUGUGUGAGAACAUCUCCCUAAAGCUCCAGUCGCAAUGGAAGGAAGGUUUAGACAUGGAAACACUGCAGCAGGAAGUCUGCAACUCGCUGCCUCAUGAGUCCAAUUUGGUGUGCAUGGAUUUUAUCAAAUAGCACAUGAGGUUGAUCACUAAAGCCGUGAAGAUUCCGGGCACUUACGAUCUGUGUGGGGAACUGCAAUUCUGUCUUUGACUGGUCUGUAGACGUAUAGGUGGAUGUAUCGGUGAAAAUGGUGACUUUCCUCCUGAGUUUCGUCCAUAGAAAACCCAUCCAGUGUGAAGGAAGUUUGCACAAAUUCACUGCCAGUCGUUUUGUCGAAUAUGGAAUAUUUAUGGGCCGCAGCCUGACAGGAAACUUUAACCGUUUCCAAUCAACAAAACAUCUGUCUUUAAAAUAAAAUGAUAUGGGAAAACUGCA